rnacentral:rRNA from 1 species
UACGAAGGGGGCUAGCGUUGCUCGGAAUCACUGGGCGUAAAGCGCACGUAGGCGGAUCUUUAAGUCAGGGGUGAAAUCCUGGAGCUCAACUCCAGAACUGCCUUUGAUACUGGCAAGCUAGAGUCCGGAAGAGGUGAGUGGAACUCCUAGUGUAGAGGUGGAAUUCGUAGAUAUUAGGAAGAACACCAGUGGCGAAGGCGGCUCACUGGUCCGGUACUGACGCUGAGGUGCGAAAGCGUGGGGAGCAAACAGGG